rnacentral:sRNA from 1 species
AGAACCUAUGAUUACAUAAGGUUGCCUC